GUUGCGUUGGCCUAAUGGUAAGGCGUCGGCCUCCGAUUUGUUAAAUUGAGCGAGUCAGCCGGAGAUUGAGGGUUCAAAUCCCUUGCGUGACU
rnacentral:tRNA from 1 species